UACGUAGGGGGCAAGCGUUGUCCGGAUUUAUUGGGCGUAAAGAGCGUGUAGGCGGCCAAGCAGGUCCGCUGUGAAAACUCGAGGCUCAACCUCGAGACGUCGGUGGAAACCGUUUGGCUAGAGUCCGGAAGAGGAGAGUGGAAUUCCCGGUGUAGCGGUGAAAUGCGUAGAUAUCGUAAGGAAGACCAGUGGCGAAGGCGGGUCUCUGGACAGUUCCUGACGCUGAGGCACGAAGGCCAGGGGAGCAAACGGG
rnacentral:rRNA from 1 species